GACGUAGGGGGCGAGCGUUGUCCGGAUUUAUUGGGCGUAAAGCGCGCGUAGGCGGUUCGUUAAGUCGGGUGUGAAAACCCGGGGCUCAACCCCGGGCCUGCAUCCGAUACUGGCGGACUCGAGGCAGACAGGGGAGAGUGGAAUUCCCGGUGUAGCGGUGAAAUGCGCAGAUAUCGGGAGGAACACCGGUGGCGAAGGCGGCUCUCUGGGUCUGUCCUGACGCUCAGGCGCGAAUGCUAGGGGAGCAAACAGG
rnacentral:rRNA from 1 species